UUUCUUUUCUUUUUUUUUUAAUCUUUGACUUUGUGCUUUUAGUGUCAGUCCUCCGAGUAUUUCUACUGUUUGCUUCUGAUUUACACAGCUUUUCUAGCAUCAUUGUUAUCCAAUUUGAAGUAAUUCUUGCUUUCUCUUUUUACAAAAGCCCUUAAUGUUUGCAGUGUUUGCUGCUGAUAUCUUUCUUCAUCUUCAUACCCAGGCAUAAGCAGCAGCUUCAUGGCUGCAGGGGUUCAAACACCAUCUCACUAUUAUCUUUAUAUUAUAAAAAUUUAGUUUUUCAGUCAAAAGAGGCAGGAAGGUCAUAAAAUGUUAAUCCUUUAACUAGGUUUCCAUGCGCCUAACCAAUGCUUGUAGUUUAUUGAAGAGUUUACAGUAUCUGUGAUUACUUCGUUUGCAUAGAAACUGUAACUGCUCUUAGGGAGUCGUCAGUAAAGACUUCGGUUUCUGUGCCCCUCUGAUAACUGCCAAGGAGGAAAGAGGGAGCAUUUUGUUAUGAAAGCUUUUUUCUCUUUGCUCAAAGUUGAGUCGGUGUUAGAAGUAUAUUUUCAUAUAUAUUCUUAUAUACUUUUGUUUGAAAAGUUCUGGUAUAAAUAACUUUGUUUCUUCCCCCAGAAUGGCUGGUUUUUGUGCAGUACUUGUUGUGAACAUCUCUUCUGUGAGAAAGCCCGGAGUGUUUGUGCUGUUGGCGGUGGGAAGCACCAGCUCUGCAGCUGGCUGUGCAGCGGGUUUGUUUUAAUGUGGAAGUGGAUCUCAGAGCUUAAUGCAAAAAAAACAAACAAAGAUCCAGGAAUUCCAGGUGUGGCCUUGCCAGGGCUGAGUUAGAGGAGAAGGAUCACCUCCCUCAACCUGCCGGCAGCAUUCCUCCAACUGCAGCAGGGAUCCCACACUACCAUCUGACCACAGUGAUUUAUCUCUGCAUGUGAACCUAUGGAGGGCAACAGUUUUGUGGUGAAAUAG